UUAUCUUUACAAAUUUGUACAGCCUCGUAUUUAUACAAUGCGAACAAGAUCAUAUCUCGUAAUCCUAAAAUACAAGGAUCUAAAUCCUAAUGUGUUGUUCUUUAAGUCUUUUUUCCACAUUUUUUGGGACUUAAACAACUUUGUAGUUCUUUCAUUUUCACUAAUGAAUAUUUACUAUUUAGCAAAAAAAUAAAAUACAAGGAUCUAUAGUUAUCCUAAGUAAAUAAAAUCUAAUAAUAAUAUUUAAAUAAUCAUAUGCUUCACAAACUUGUAGAAUCCAUUUGGACGUGCUUGUAGUAUAUGCGCUACAUCACAUUCAUAGGUCUCGACGUUAAGACCUUACAAAUAUGUGUUAUCCAUAUUUAAUCUACCUCCCUCCCACAAUUACCCACUGAAAAAAUUUCUAAUACGAUAACACAUUUUGAAUAUCAACAAACAUUUACCAACACCUUUACUUACACUUCCCCACGUGGCGGUUAACUCAACAAAUAUUAGCACAGCAAUCCUAUGUGUUCCAUGCUACACCCCUCCUCUCAUAAACAUCAAAACUGCUACAUUGAAAGUAGUGGAGGUCUGCCUACUCACUCUCCAUCCCGUCUACGCUGGAAAGCAAAACGUGUAAACAAAGUUAUCAUUGGAUCUAAACCUUCUCAUUUACUACUCAUAUAGAUUACUCAUACGGUCAAUAUAACUCAUUACAAGGGUCAGCACUCUCAAACGCCAUGCGAGAACCGGAUCCCAAACACCCUC
rnacentral:lncRNA from 1 species